AUUGAACGCUGGCGGCAUGCUUUACACAUGCAAGUCGAACGGCAGCACGGGGGCAACCCUGGUGGCGAGUGGCGAACGGGUGAGUAACACAUCGGAACGUGUCCCUUGGUGGGGGAUAACCAGUCGAAAGACUGGCUAAUACCGCAUAAGCUCGCAAGAGGAAAGCAGGGGACCUGCAAGGGCCUUGCGCGAUUGGGAGCGGCCGAUGUCCGAUUAGCUAGUUGGUAGGGAAGCCUACCAAGGCGACGAUCGGUAGCUGGUCUGAGAGGAUGAUCAGCCACACUGGGACUGAGACACGG
rnacentral:rRNA from 1 species